UACGAGGGGGGCGAGCGUUGUUCGGAAUUAUUGGGCGUAAAGGGUGCGUAGGCGGUUUGGUAAGUCUUGUGUGAAAUCUCCAGGCUCAACUUGGAGUCUGCACGAGAAACUGCCGGGCUUGAGUGUGGGAGAGGUGAGUGGAAUUCCUGGUGUAGCGGUGAAAUGCGUAGAUAUCAGGAGGAACACCUGUGGCGAAGGCGACUCACUGGACACGUAUUGACGCUGAGGUGCGAAAGCGUGGGAGCAAACAGG
rnacentral:rRNA from 1 species